GUAGGGGGGUGCUUGACUUUCGGUUCAACUGAGGAAAGUCCGCCCACAGAUGCCAGACUCAUGCUUCAAUGCAUGAGUCUAGCUGAAAACGGCUGCUCAAAAGAGAUCCUUAAUAGGGAUAGCAACCGCGCAGAAACGAGACCUCUGUGUAGGGUAUGUUCAAAGGCAUGCACAGCGAUGAGGGUUGCGAAGACCCUGGUGACAGGGUUGAGUGGGGCUCUGGCAACAGGCUCCUUGACCACCCGAGCCGAUCACACAGGAUGGAUGAAACGGCGAGCCUCAGCCAGUGCAAGUCUUUAAAGACGCUUAGUAGAAUGUCAAGACAGGGCAUCGAUGAGCUUCCCAGGAAGCGAGGCCCUGACAGAAGGCGGCUUAUAGCCCCUCUAC
rnacentral:RNase_P_RNA from 1 species